AACGCACCUGCGCCCCUUGGUAUUCCGAGGGGCAUGCCUGUUUGAGUGUCAUUAAAUCCUCAACCGCGCCGAUCGAUUUCGGGUGGGGCUUGGACUUUGGAGCGUGCUGGCGAAGGUCGGCUCCUCUUUAAAUGCAUUAGCGAGUGUUAGUCUACAUGGCACGGCCUCUUGACGUGAUAAUGAUCGUCGUGGGCUGGAAGUGUAGUGUCUGGCUUCUAAUCCGAUUGUGUGCAUACGGCCCUUAAAGCUGGAAGCGCAAUCAAAACCGACUACGUGCAUACGGCCCAUAAAGCUGGAAGCGUAAUCAAAAUGACCUUUGACCUCAAAUCAGGUAGGACUACCCGCUGAACUUAA
rnacentral:rRNA from 1 species